rnacentral:tRNA from 1 species
GCCGGCGUCCAGCGUGGCGAGGGCGCUGGACACGUUCACCGUCCCGCCGGCGGCCACGGUGACGGUGUCGACGUUCAUGUCGCCGGCGCCGGCG